CCCUUCAGCUGCUCCCUUGUUUGCACUCGGGGUCGCCACAGCAAAUCCAAGGCCUAGGGCACCAAAAUGGCUAGAACCAGCUCUGAGCCCAAUUGAA